UCGUGGAGCGAUUUGUCUGGUUGAUUCCGGUAACGAACGAGACUCUGGGCGAGUGCGGGCCUCUCACGCUUAGGCGAGAGGAGUCCGUCACAACGCCGGCUGCUAGUGGAAGCUAGAGUUACAGGCCAGAGCAAUAACA
rnacentral:rRNA from 1 species